rnacentral:rRNA from 1 species
AUUGAACGCUGGCGGCAGGCCUAACACAUGCAAGUCGAGCGAGCGGCGGACGGGUGAGUAAUGUAUGGGGACUGCCCGAUAGAGGGGGAUAACUACUGGAAACGGUAACUAAUACCGCAUACUAUCGGAUAACCCAUAUGGGAUUAGCUAGUAGGUGAGGUAAUGGCUCACCUAGGCGACGAGCCCUAGAUGGUCUGAGAGGAUGAUCAGCCACACUGGGACGGAGAAACGGCCCAGCAUCCUACGGAGCCAGAUGUGGGGAAUAGUGCACAAGGGGUGAAAGCCUGAUGAAGCCAUGCCGAGUGUAUGAAGAAGGCCCUAGGGUUGUAAAGUACUUGCAGUCGGGAGGCGUUACCGACAGAAGAAGCACCGGCUAACUCCGUGCCAGCAGCCGCGGUAAUAC